rnacentral:rRNA from 1 species
UACGGAGGGUGCAAGCGUUAUCCGGAUUUACUGGGUUUAAAGGGUGCGUAGGUGGACAAUUAAGUCAGUGGUGAAAUCUCCGGGCUUAACCCGGAAACUGCCAUUGAUACUACUUGUCUUGAAUACUUUGGAGGUAAGCGGAAUAUGUCAUGUAGCGGUGAAAUGCUUAGAUAUGACAUAGAACACCAAUUGCGAAGGCAGCUUACUACACAGCAAUUGACACUGAGGCACGAAAGCGUGGGGAUCAAACAGG